rfam:Triticum aestivum genome assembly, contig: Triticum_aestivum_CS42_TGACv1_scaffold_251054_3DL
UUCAUACUCCCUCCGUCCCAAAAUUCUUGUCUUAGAUUUGUCUAGACACGGAUGUACCUAAUACUAAAAUGUGACUUGAUACAUUCGUAUUUAGACAAAUUUAAGACAAGAAUUUUGGGAUGGAGGGAGUAUGUG